rnacentral:rRNA from 1 species
GAUGAACGCUGGCGGCGUGCCUAAUACAUGCAAGUCGAGCGAACAGAUGAGGAGCUUGCUCCUCUGACGUUAGCGGCGGACGGGUGAGUAACACGUGGAUAACCUACCUAUAAGACUGGGAUAACUUCGGGAAACCGGAGCUAAUACCGGAUAAUAUAUUGAACCGCAUGGUUCAAUAGUGAAAGACGGUUUUGCUGUCACUUAUAGAUGGAUCCGCGCCGCAUUAGCUAGUUGGUAAGGUAACGGCUUACCAAGGCAACGAUGCGUAGCCGACCUGAGAGGGUGAUCGGCCACACUGGAACUGAGACACGGUCCAGACUCCUACGGGAGGCAGCAGUAGGGAAUCUUCCGCAAUGGGCGAAAGCUUGACGGAGCAACGCCGCGUGAGUGAUGAAGGUCUUCGAAUCGUAAAACUCUGUUAUUAGGGAAGAACAAAUGUGUAAGUAACUAUGCACGUCUUGACGGUACCUAAUCAGAAAGCCACGGCUAACUACGUG